UCAGACGAUGCGUCAUGCAUAUCAAUAAGCGGAGGAAAAGAAACUAACAAGGAUUCCCUUAGUAACGGCGAGUGAAGCGGGAAGAGCUCAAAUUUGAAAUCUUCAAGGUUUUACCUUGACGAAUUGUAGUUUAAAGAAGUGUUUUCUGCUGAAGUUUUGGUAAAAGUUCUUUGGAAUAGGACAUCAUAGAGGGUGAGAAUCCUGUAUUUGACCAUUAUUUUCAGCUGUGUGAUACACUUUCAAAGAGUCGGAUUGUUUGGGAAUGCAGUCCAAAAUGGGUGGUAAAUUUCAUCUAAAGCUAAAUAUUGGCGAGAGACCGAUAGCGAACAAGUACCGUGAGGGAAAGAUGAAAAGAACUUUGAAAGAGAGUUAAACAGUACGUGAAAUUGUCAAAAGGGAAGCGUUUGACACCAGUGUUGUUUUCUCGAAAAUCAAUUAAAAAGAGUUAGAUUUUGUUGUGUAUUGACCUUAACAGCUUGCAUUUCAAUUUUCUUGCUUUUUUUAAUGCACUUUUCGUUUAACAAGUCAACAUCAGUUUCUUUUGUUGUAAAAAGGUCAUUGGAAGGUAGCUUUCUUUUCGGAGAAAGUGUUUAUAGCCUUUGACUCCUGCAAUCGGAGAGACUGAGGUCUGCAGCGUAGAUCCUUCGGGGUUAGAUACAUUUGUGCUAAGUUAUAGUCUUUUAUAGACAACUUGUUGACUAUGAUUAGUCUUGUAGCUUACUCGCUUAUGCUAUUUUACCUACGCUUAGGAUGUUGAGUCGUAGAGCACGCAG
rnacentral:rRNA from 1 species